rnacentral:misc_RNA from 1 species
GAUGAAGAACGUAGCGAAAUGCGAUACGUAAUGUGAAUUGCAGAAUUCAGUGAAUCAUCGAAUCUUUGAACGCAUAUUGCGCUCUUUGGUAUUCCGAAGAGCAUGCUUGUUUGAGUAUCAGUAAACACCUCAAAGCUUUUGGAUUUUUUAAUCGAAAAGCUUUGGACUUGAGCAAUCCCAACACCAAUCUUCUUGAGAUCGGUGGCGGGUUGCUUGAAAUGCAGGUGCAGCUGGACAUUCUCCUGAGCUAAAAGCAUAUUCAUUUAGUCCCGUCAAACGGAUUAUUACUUUUGCUGCAGCUAACAUAAAGGGAGUUUGACCGUAUUGGCUGACUGAUGCAGGAUUUCACAAGGGUCGGCAACGAUUCUUGUUAAACUCGAUCUCAAAUCAAGUAAGACUACCCGCUGAACUUAAGCAUAUCAAUAAGCGGAGGA